AUGGCCUCCCUCCCAUACACCGCCGUCGCCUGCGCCUCCGUCAGAGCCGACCCCGCCCCGGGACUCCUCAACUACGCAGCCGUCCACUCCUGCCUCCUACGCGCCGACCGCCGCCUCUCCCUCCCCAUCCUCGCGCUCCUCCUCCUCCUCCACUUCCGCUUCCUCGCCGUGGCCGCGGGGGCCCACUUCUCCCCCGCCGUCUCCCGCCUCGCGUCCCGCCUCCGUCUCUCCCCUUCCAUGGCCGCCGUUACGCUCCUCGCGCUCGGAAACGGCGCCCCAGAUGCGUUCGCUUCCGCCGCCGCGCUACGCGGCGAGGGCGGGCUGCCCCGGGCCGGGCUGGCCGCCAUCCUCUCCGCGGGCGCCUUCGUGUCCGCGUUCGUCGUCGGCGCCGUUUCCCUUAUCGCCGCGCCCUUCGCUGUCCCGCCGGCUUCAUUCACGCGCGACGUCUUCUUAUACCUCGUCGCCGCGUCGGCGCUUUUCUACAUCUACCUCAGCGCCGAGAUAUUCCUGUGGCAGGCCGUCGGGCUCGUGCUCUUCUAUGUCUUCUUCGUCGGCUUAGUGUUUUAUAUGGAUUUGGGCGCGGCGGGAAAGGCAGUCAGCUCUGCCGAGCCGGAGACGACAGCGAAUGGCAUGGGCCGCGCGGCGAUGGACUUGCCAGUCUCAGUGGAGCAUCAGAAGCAACGCAAAGCUAGUUUGUGGACGGUGCUCACCAAGCAGGUAACAAGAGUUUGGGAUUGGCCUGUGACAUUUCUUUUGAAGCUCACGAUACCGUCAACGCUUCCUUCUGAAUGGAACAAAUUUUACAUCUGUGCGAACAUCUGUCUAUGCCCUCUCAUACUGCUAUAUUCUUUUAGCUCAUUCAUUCCGUUGGAUAGCCGAAUAGUAUUUCUUCUCCCUCAAAUCCGCUUCCCCCUCUGGUCUGUUGUUCUUCUGGUUAGCUUUUGUUUGGCUCUAUCCCACUUCCGCUUUGAGAAAGAAUCACCAGAAACAGAGAACAUUGCAAGUACCCUCAUAUCGUUUGUAAUGAGCGUCUUCUGGAUCUCAACCAUGGCCGGAGAGCUCCUGAAUUGCCUGGCAGCAAUUGGAGUUAUUAUGGAUCUCCCUCCAGCUAUACUUGGCAUGACAGUCUUGGCAUGGGGGAAUUCUGUCGGUGAUCUUGUUGCUGAUGUGGCAUUGGCCAAGAACGGUCAACCUACAAUCGCCAUUGCUGGCUGUUUUGCUGGCCCAAUGUUCAACAUGCUUGUUGGAUUAGGAACUGCCCUAGUGAUGCAGACGGCAGGAGUGUAUCCCAAAGCCUUUGUACUUGAAUUCCAUGUUGGAAUUGUUGUUGCAUUUGUGUUUCUUCUUCUGAGCUUGAUGGCAACCCUGUGGUGGUAA
rnacentral:rRNA from 1 species